CCUACGGGAUGCACCAGUAGGGAAUCUUCCGCAAUGGACGAAAGUCUGACGGAGCAACGCCGCGUGAGUGAUGAAGGCUUUCGGGUCGUAAAACUCAGUUGUUAGGGAAGAACAAGUGCUAGUUGAAUAAGCUGGCACCUUGACGGUACCUAACCAGAAAGCCACGGCUAACUACGUGCCAGCAGCCGCGGUAAUACGUAGGUGGCAAGCGUUAUCCGGAAUUAUUGGGCGUAAAGCGCGCGCAGGUGGUUUCUUAAGUCUGAUGUGAAAGCCCACGGCUCAACCGUGGAGGGUCAUUGGAAACUGGGAGACUUGAGUGCAGAAGAGGAAAGUGGAAUUCCAUGUGUAGCGGUGAAAUGCGUAGAGAUAUGGAGGAACACCAGUGGCGAAGGCGGCCCCCUGGACAAAGACUGACGCUCAGAUGCGAAAGCGUGGGGAGCAAACAGGAUUAGAUACCCGAGUAGUC
rnacentral:rRNA from 1 species